UACGUAGGGAGCGAGCGUUGUCCGAAUUUACUGGGCGUAAAGCGCGCGUAGGCGGGUCAAUAAGUUGUGGGUGAAAUGCCGAGGCUCAACCUCGGCGCUGCCUGCAAGACUGUUGGUCUUGAGGUAUGGAGGGGAAAGCGGAAUUCCUGGUGUAGCGGUGAAAUGCGUAGAUAUCAGGAGGAACACCGAUGGCGAAGGCAGCUUUCUGGCCAUAUCCUGACGCUGAGGUGCGAAAGCCAGGGUAGCGAAC
rnacentral:rRNA from 1 species